UUCAACCACUUCUUCCACUGUGUGACCUCCCUGGCACUGUUUCUUUUGGCCAAAAGCCAGUGGAAUCUGGGGAAUGUGCUGGAGACAGUGGUGGUCAAGCAGCCAUAGAGAACAAAUUAAUGGAAACCUUCACUUUCAACACGGGUCCUUGCCAGCAGGUGACCCAAUGUCCACAUCUACGGGGACCUAAUGAUCUUUAAGGUCUUUUCCAGCCCAAAUGAUUCCACUCUAUGACCUCAUGACCAGAUGCUGCUCUGCAAGCUGAGUGUUGUGAGCUGGUUAACCAGCACAGUGAUGGUCAUGCAGGUAUGCUGGCCACGGCUCAGGGGUGUUUAAUGACACUUGAAAUGCCAACUGCUGACCUGCUGCUCCAGAAGGGACCCUUACUGACAGAAGCCAUGAUCCUACAAGCAGGAUGGAGGACCAGCUGAGUUAUAUCUGAUAUUCUGUAUUUGGAAGCAAUGAGU